rnacentral:rRNA from 1 species
AGCGAACGUUAGCGGCGGGCCUAACACAUGCAAGUCGAGGGAGAAAGUGGCUUCGGCCAUGAGUAAACCGGCGGACGGGUGAGUAACACGUGGGUAAUGUACCUAUCGGCGGGGGAUAACAGUCCGAAAGGAUUGCUAAUACCGCAUACGCCAGUCGGAGCUCCGGCUCUGAUUGGGAAAGGUGGCCUCUCGGCGAAGCUGCCACCGAUAGAUCAGCCCGCGUCCCAUCAUGCUAGUUGGUGAGGUAAUGGCUCACCAAGGCGUAGACGGGUAGCUG